rnacentral:tRNA from 1 species
GUGGAUGUAGCUCAAUAGGCAGAGCGCCGCACUGUGGAUGCGGUGGUUGUGGGUUCAAGUCCCAUCAUCCACCCCA